rnacentral:rRNA from 1 species
GAUCAUGGCUCAGGAUGAACGCUAGCUACAGGCUUAACACAUGCAAGUCGAGGGGCAUCGGGAAGAAAGCUUGCUUUCUUUGCUGGCGACCGGCGCACGGGUGAGUAACACGUAUCCAACCUGCCCUUUACUCGGGGAUAGGCCUUUCGAAAGAAAGAUUAAUACCCGAUAGCAUAAUGAUUCCGCAUGGUUUCAUUAUUAAAGGAUUCCGGUAAAGGAUGGGGAUGCGUUCCAUUAGGUUGUUGGUGAGGUAACGG